GUUUGGUGCGUUUAAGCCAUCUAAUCAGAGUGCUCUGACAGGUAAAUGAAGAGACUGACAGGGAAGUCUCUACAUUUACCUGUCACAGCACUCUGAUUGGUUGGCUUGAAAUCCACCAAUC